rnacentral:rRNA from 1 species
UACGUAGGGGGCAAGCGUUGUCCGGAUUCAUUGGGCGUAAAGAGCGUGUAGGCGGCCAGGUAGGUCGGUUGUGAAAACUGGAGGCUCAACCUUCAGAGGUCGACCGGAAACCAUCUGGCUAGAGUCCGGGAGAGGAGAGUGGAAGUUCCUGGUGUAGCGGUGAAAUGCGCAGAUAUCAGGAAGAACACCCGGUGGCGAAAGCGGCUCUCUGGAACGGUACUGACGCUGAGACGCGAAAGCGUGGGAGCGAACAGG